rnacentral:tRNA from 1 species
GGGCGAGUGGCGGAAUGGCAUACGCGCAACGCUAAGGACGUUGUGGGGUAAAACCCAUGCAGGUUCAAGUCCUGUCUCGCCCACCA